CUUGUCUCCUGUAUUUCUCUUGCUCCCGGUUUCCCGCUCCUGCCAUGCAGAAGUGAGCAAGAUGAGGAAGGCUUUGGAGAAACUGCAAGCAACGAGCGAGAAGAAUCUGCAGGCUGUUCACGAGGCCAAUGAUGCAAGUCCCAGAAGAUGGUGGAGAAGGACCCUGGACAGUGGCACUUCUCUGAAGAAGUGAGCAAGAUGAGGAAGGCUUUGGAGAAACUGCAAGCAACGAGCGAGAAGAAUCUGCAGGCUGUUCACGAGGCCAAUGAUGCAAGUCCCAGAAGAUGGUGGAGAAGGACCCUGGACAGUGGCACUUCUCUGAAGAAGUGAGCAAGAUGAGGAAGGCUUUGGAGAAACUGCAAGCAACGAGCGAGAAGAAUCUGCAGGCUGUUCACGAGGCCAAUGAUGCAAGUCCCAGAAGAUGGUGGAGAAGGACCCUGGACAGUGGCACUUCUCUGAAGGUAGGGCCUGGGAUGCAGAUCCGCAUUCCCUGGUGCUCCCGAGCCCUUUUGUUGCCCAGAGCAGCGAGGCCUCCCUGUAACGAGGGCUGUGGUCUCUGCUCAGUUGGCGUUUUGCUGUGCUGCAGCUCUUUGUGGCCACUGAGAGUGACGACCCUGUAAGGAGGGUGGAAGUCACCAUGCUGCCGUCCGUCUUCUUGGGGAGAAGGAGCUCCUGAGAGGCCUGGGCCGUAGGACCGCCCAGUAAAUGGGGUCCCGGUCUCUGCACCCGUGGCACUAUGCCACGCGAUGCCAGCCUGCGUGGCGUGGCUCCCCUGUCAGCAGGGUGGAAGCCGCGAGCUACCUAUUUCUAGGCCCUCUUUACCCUGAGGCGAGAGCCCGCUCCGUAAUCGGGGUCGAGGUGCCUGCCUGCGGGGCUUCAGGCCCACGUGGCAGUUAAAGUUCAGCGGGGCUCGCCUGUAAGUCAGGUCCGUGGCCCAUGGCCCGUGGCCCGGCUGCCUGUUUCUCUGUGGCCUCGGGGGUACCUUGGGCCGAGCGCCUGCUCCGUAAUCGGGGUCGAGGUGUCUGCCUGCGGGGCUUCAUGCCCGGGCGGCAGUUAUUUCCGCAGGGCCUGCCUGUACCUCGGGUGCGUGGCCCGAGGCUUCACGGCCUCGGUGCGUGCCGUGUGCUGCACGUGGAGAGGAGCUGUGAAGGCCUCUAGGGUCAAAGUAUCGGCCACCUCGCGGUAGGCUGGAUGUAGUUUUGUACCUCUCUCCCUUUGGGAGAACAGGAGGCAUUAGUGUUUGAGAUUGGCUGGAGCUGGUGCUGCAACGAGGUCUUUUUUCUCUUCUGGGAAGCUGUCUUGUGUGUGUGUUGGUAUGCAUGGGGGUGACUUGAGCGUGGUGGAUUGCAUUUUUGCAUGGUUUUGUUUGAAAUCGCUGCAGUAUUAGCUUUUGACGCUUCACAGAAGCAGAGAACAAGAAACGUUGUGCGCACGAACCAAAGGAGGAUGCUCCUGUGUUCCCCCCAAAGGGCAUUUCUGUGGGUACAGACCACAUCCCCUUGCUGCUGGGGACAAGGCAGGCUCUUUAUGAGCCCCCUCGGCAGAUACUGAGGCGUGACCUGCCAGUAACCCAGGAGCAGGUCAGCCCGCUUUGACUAUUGCGGCCGAUUGACAUUACACUUGGCGUGCCAGCGCUGUAAGGAGCGUGCGUGCCACGUGCUACAACCCUUUAAGGGUUGUAGGCACAUGCAAGACUUAUGUCUUUGAGCUGACUGACCUCCCCGUAAUCGGGGCCGAGGUCUCUGCCCACUGGGCUUCGUGCCCAGGUGGCAAUUUGCCAGUCAGCGAGACGGACAAGAGACAAG